rnacentral:rRNA from 1 species
GACGAACCGUACGAACGUUAUUCGGAAUCACUGGGCUUAAAGGGUGCGUAGGCGGUGCGGAAAGUUGGGUGUGAAAUCCCUCGGCUCAACCGAGGAGUGGCGCUCGAAACUACCGUGCUGGAGGGAGACAGAGGUGAGCGGAACUCAGGGUGGAGCGGUGAAAUGCGUUGAUAUCCUGGGGAACACCAGUAGCGAAAGCGGCUCACUGGGUCUCAACUGACGCUGAUGCACGAAAGCUAGGGUAGCGAACGGGAUUAGAAACCCCGGUAGU